rnacentral:tRNA from 1 species
GCCGACGUGCCGGAGCGGUCGAACGGACGCGCCUUGUAAGCGCGCUGCGAAAGCACACGUGGGUUCGAAUCCCACCGUCGGCU